GACGAACGCUGGCGGCGUGCUUAACACAUGCAAGUCGAACGGGGUCCUGGUUGGUGGCAACACCUUCCAGUACCUAGUGGCGAACGGGUGAGGAACACGUGAGCAACCCACCCCGGACUCUGGGAUAACAGCGGGAAACCGCUGCUAAUACCGGAUACCUUCCUGCAGUCGCGUGGCUGUACGAAGAAAGGGUUACUGGUUCGGGACGGGCUCGCGGCCUAUCAGCUUGUUGGUGGGGUAACGGCCUACCAAGGCUUCGACGGGUAGCUGGUCUGAGAGGAUGAUCAGCCACACUGGGACUGAGACACGGCCCAGACUCCUACGGGAGGCAGCAGUAGGGAAUAUUGCUCAAUGGGCGAAAGCCUGAAGCAGCAACGCCGCGUGUGUGAUGAAGGCCUUCGGGUCGUAAAGCACUUUUCUGGGAGAUGAGAAAGGACAGUAUCCUAGGAAUAAGUCUCGGCUAACUACGUGCCAGCCGCCGCAGUAA
rnacentral:rRNA from 1 species